rnacentral:lncRNA from 1 species
GAAUGGCGUCGGGGUUGGAGGGUUGGAAGGUCGGGAAGUGAAGGACUCGCAGGCAUAUUUAACAACGCAAAGUUGCUAGGAGUUGGUACCAGCGUUUGGGAGGUAGAGGUGGCGCUCAUGCAUAUUUGAGACAACAUCUGGAUGGUUGGGGAGAACGGUGAUGCCACACUCAAUCAGAAACUAUGCUACUGCUGAAGAGGUAUAUUGAGCCCUGCCUGGUUAACCUCCAGUGAGGUUAUUAGAGAAUUGGGAGAGGCUCAAAUCAGCAUCCUGCACCUAGUUAUCAAACCAUUGUGAAGUCUUGAUUCCUGGAUGGCCAGAAAACUUGUCAUUGGUCAAGAGCAACAUUAAGAUCUGCCUGUUACUCAUACUGAUGCUUCCUGCCCAGCAAGUUCAUCAGAGGGCGAGGAUGAAUUACGGUUGCCAUGAAUGUCCUUGUGAGGCAGUUGGGAAGCCUUGGCUGGAUUGUGAAGGAUAUUUGAAAAGUAUUUUAGAGUCCACCAGAUCAUCCAUGUGAGUGACCAUGCAGCAAAAGAAGGAGGGUCCUCUCAGUGAUUAAGGAUUAUGAAGUAUUAAUUCUUCCACUGAUAUCUCAAAAGGUGAUCUGGACAAAGGAACAGGUAUCUCAGGAAUAACUCAUAUCCAUGAGUACAAUUAUACGCCAGUCCUGUGGGUCCUUGCAAAUCACUGAAACUACCCUUGUGCUGGGGCUCGCCAACGCAAAAGCACAGAUCUCAAACACAGCAGACAAAGACAUCAAGGAAGCUAAUACAAACAUGUUCAGAGAACUAAAGAAAACCACACUUAAAGAAGUAAUGUGCCAGGCG